rnacentral:tRNA from 1 species
CGGGGUGUAGCACAGUUGGCAGCGCGCCACGUUCGGGACGUGGAGGUCGGAUGUUCGAGUCAUCUCACCCCGA